rnacentral:tRNA from 2 species
GGCCCCUUCGUCUAGUGGUUAGGACAGGAGAUUCUCAUUCUUCAGGCAGGGGUUCGACUCCCCUAGGGGCUA